rnacentral:misc_RNA from 1 species
AUUCAAAGUCUUCUUAAAGUUAAUAUGGAAGGGGCAUAUGGUUCAGAGUGGCCCACGGAAGAAAAGGUGAAGCGCAGGGAAAUGGUUGCCCCUGAAGCGAGAUAUAUAGUUGUGCGAAAAUCUCCAAACAUAGCUCUUAAUGAAAUUUCUGUAGGGAAGCAGGAUAAUUUGACUAGUGCCCUUUGGAAGGAUGGUGGCGAUCAUGUUAUAGGGUUUCUGCAUUAUCGUUUUGUCAUUGAG